UACGUAGGGUGCAAGCGUGUCCGGAAUUAUUGGGGCGUAAAGAGCUCGUAGGCGGUCUGUCGCGUCUGGUGUGAAAAAUCCAGGGCUUAACCCCUGGACCUGCAUCGGGGUACGGGCAGACUAGAGUGCGGUAGGGGGAGAUCGGAAUUCCUGGUGUAGCGGUGAAAUGCUAGAUAUCGGGAGGAACACCAGUGGCGAAGGCGGCGUCUGGGAAGAUACUGACGCUGAGGUGCGAAAACGUGGGGGACAAACAGGG
rnacentral:rRNA from 1 species